rnacentral:rRNA from 1 species
GAUGAACGCUGACAGAAUGCUUAACACAUGCAAGUCCACUUGAAUUUGGGUUUUUACCUUAGGUUUGGGUGGCGGACGGGUGAGUAACGCGUAAAGAACUUGCCUCACAGCUAGGGACAACAUUUGGAAACGAAUGCUAAUACCUAAUAUUAUGAUAAUAGGGCAUCCUAUAAUUAUGAAAGCUAUAAGCGCUGUGAGAGAGCUUUGCGUCCCAUUAGCUAGUUGGAGAGGUAACGGCUCACCAAGGCGAUGAUGGGUAGCCGGCCUGAGAGGGUGAUCGGCCACAAGGGGACUGAGACACGGCCCUUACUCCUACGGGAGGCAGCAGUGGGGAAUAUUGGACAAUGGACCGAGAGUCUGAUCCAGCGAUUCUGUGUGCACGAUGAAGUUUUUCGGAAUGUAAAGUGCUUUCAGUUGGGAAGAAACAAAUGACGGUACCAACAGAAGAAGUGACGGCUAAAUACGUG